rnacentral:sRNA from 1 species
GAAUAAACGGGAUGGAAGCGCUAUCCCCCGAUUCUUCAUCGGGAAUAUAGCGAACAGCCCGACCGGAG